CAGUCGAACGAGAGAUGAGGAGCUUGCUCUUCAAAUCGAGUGGCGAACGGGUGAGUAACGCGUGAGGAACCUGCCUCAAAGAGGGGGACAACAGUUGGAAACGACUGCUAAUACCGCAUAAGCCCACGGCUCGGCAUCGAGCAGGGGGAAAAGGAGCAAUCCGCUUUGAGAUGGCCUCGCGUCCGGUUAGCUAGUUGGUGAGGUAAUGGCCCACCAAGGCGACGAUCGGUAGCCGGACUGAGAGGUUGAACGGCCACAUUGGGACUGAGACACGGCCCAGACUCCUACGGGAGGCAGCAGUGGGGAAUAUUGCACAAUGGGGGAAACCCUGAUGCAGCGACGCCGCGUGGAGGAAGAAGGUCUUCGGAUUGUAAACUCCUGUUGUUGAGGAAGAUAAUGACGGUACUCAACAAGGAAGUGACGGCUAACUACGUGCCAGCAGCCGCGGUAAAACGUAGGUCACAAGCGUUGUCCGGAAUUACUGGGUGUAAAGGGAGCGCAGGCGGGAGAACAAGUUGGAAGUGAAAUCCAUGGGCUCAACCCAUGAACUGCUUUCAAAACUGUUUUUCUUGAGUAGUGCAGAGGUAGGCGGAAUUCCCGGUGUAGCGGUGGAAUGCGUAGAUAUCGGGAGGAACACCAGUGGCGAAGGCGGCCUACUGGGCACCAACUGACGCUGAGGCUCGAAAGUGUGGGUAGCAAACAGGAUUAGAUACCCUGGUAGUCCACACCGUAAACGAUGAUUACUAGGUGUUGGGGGAUUGACCCCUUCAGUGCCGCAGUUAACACAAUAAGUAAUCCACCUGGGGAGUACGACCGCAAGGUUGAAACUCAAAGGAAUUGACGGGGGCCCGCACAAGCAGUGGAGUAUGUGGUUUAAUUCG
rnacentral:rRNA from 1 species